rnacentral:rRNA from 1 species
CCUACGGGAGGCAGCAGUGGGGAAUAUUGGACAAUGGGCGAAAGCCUGAUCCAGCCAUGCCGCGUGUGUGAAGAAGGCCUUCGGGUUGUAAAGCACUUUCAGUGGGGAAGAAAGCCUUGGGGCUAAUACCCUCGAGGAAGGACAUCACCCACAGAAGAAGCACCGGCUAACUCCGUGCCAGCAGCCGCGGUAAUACGGAGGGUGCGAGCGUUAAUCGGAAUUACUGGGCGUAAAGCGCGCGUAGGCGGUCUGAUAAGCCGGUUGUGAAAGCCCCGGGCUCAACCUGGGAACGGCAUCCGGAACUGUCAGGCUAGAGUGCAGGAGAGGAAGGUAGAAUUCCCGGUGUAGCGGUGAAAUGCGUAGAGAUCGGGAGGAAUACCAGAGGCGAAGGCGGCCUUCUGGACUGACACUGACGCUGAGGUGCGAAAGCGUGGGUAGCAAACAGGAUUAGAUACCCCAGUAGUC